ensembl:lncRNA
GCUGUCUCAUAAACACGGUUAUAUCAACGCUUUAUUGUGAUUGGUUAGGCUGUCUCAUAAACACGGUUAUAUCAACGCUUUAUUGUGAUUGGUUAGGCUGUCUCAAACACGGUUAUAUCAAUGCUUUAUUGUGAUUGGUUAGGCUGUCUCAUUGUUGCGAGAAUUAUGUUCUCAAUGUUCAUAAACCACUUCAAUUAAACUACUCAGCCUGCAACCCAGAAUGUGUAAGAUUCUGGUUAAAUGAAACAGACGGAGGCCCAGCUAUGAUAGUCAAAAUGUUUAUUCACGAGAGCGCUAGUCCGUUGCACAAAACCAUUCAUAUUAUACUGGCUCCUUACGCACUUACAUUCAAACACAAACAGUAGGUAUAAUACGCACAUACUGUAUCACCACCCAGCCGACAAAGAUUAGGGAGACCUUGGGAAGCACUCCCUGUCCUCCCUCAAGAUUAGGGAGACCGUAGGAAGCACUCCCUGUCCUCCCUCAAGAUUAGGGAGACCGUGGGAAGCACCCCGUGUCCUCCCUCAAGAUUAGGGAGACCGUGGGAAGCACUCCUUGUCUUCCCUCAAGAUUAGGGAGACCGUGGGAAGCACUCCUUGUCCUCCCUCAAGAUUAAGGAGACCGUGGGAAGCACUCCUUGUCCUCCCUCAAGAUUAGGAGGGACUUGAAGUACUCCCCGCCCUCUCCCAAAUCUCUCAUAGGCCCCUAGCAAGGUUAAUAAUGGUGAGAUGGAUGGUGGACAGGGUUAAUAAUGGUGAGUUGGAGGGUAGACAGGGUUAAUAAUGGUGAGUUGGAGGGUAGACAGGGUUAAUAAUGGUGAGUUGGAGGGUAGACAGGGUUAAUAAUGGUGAGUUGGAGGGUAGACAGUGUUAAUAAUGGUGAGUUGGAGGGUAGACAGGGUUAAUAAUGGUGAGUUGGAGGGUAGACAGGGUUAAUAAUGGUGAGUUGGAGGGUAGACAGGGUUAAUAAUGGUGAGUUGGAGGGUGGACAGGGUUAAUAAUGGUGAGUUGGAGGGUGGACAGGGUUAAUAAUGGUGAGUUGGAGGGUAGACAGGGUUAAUAAUGGUGAGUUGGAGGGUAGACAGGGUUAAUAAUGGUGAGUUGGAGGGUAGACAGGGUUAAUAAUGGUGAGUUGGAUGGUGGACAGGGUUAAUAAUGGUGAGUUGGAUGGUGGACAGGGUUAAUAAUGGUGAGUUGGAUGGUGGACAGGGUUAAUAAUGGUGAGUUGGAUGGUGGACAGGGUUAAUGGUGAGAUGGAUGGUGGACAGGGUUAAUAAUGGUGAGAUGGAGGGUGGACAGCGUUAAUAAUGGUGAGAUGGAUGGUGGACAGGGUUAAUAAUGGUGAGAUGGAUGGUGGACAGGGUUAAUAAUGGUGAGUUGGAGGGUGGACAGGGUUAAUAAUGGUGAGUUGGAGGGUGGACAGGGUUAAUAAUGGUGAGUUGGAGGGUGGACAGGGUUAAUAAUGGUGAGUUGGAGGGUAGACAGGGUUAAUAAUGGUGAGUUGGAGGGUAGACAGGGUUAAUAAUGGUGAGUUGGAGGGUAGACAGGGUUAAUAAUGGUGAGUUGGA